UACAGAGGUCUCAAGCGUUGUUCGGAUUCAUUGGGCGUAAAGGGUGCGUAGGCGGCGCGGUAAGUCGGGUGUGAAAUCUCGGAGCUUAACUCCGAAACUGCAUUCGAUACUGCCGUGCUUGAGGACUGGAGAGGAGACUGGAAUUUACGGUGUAGCGGUGAAAUGCGUAGAUAUCAGGAGGAACACCGGUGGCGAAGGCGGGUCUCUGGGCCGAUACUGACGCUGAGGAGCGAAAGCGUGGGGGAGCGAACAGG
rnacentral:rRNA from 1 species